UUUAUGACCUCUGACCUCAAAUCAGGUAGGACUACCCG
rnacentral:rRNA from 1 species